AUGCCACUGCACUCCAGCCUGGGCAAUAGAGUGAGAUUCUGUCUUGAGAAAAAAAAAAAGAGGACGAAGAAGCAGAGCCUACAAAGCAUGCUGAAAAGCAGCUAGCAGAGUCAAGAGGGAAGGAGUGUGGGGUGCCCCAGAAGCUGCAAAGGUGCACUUCAUUCCCGGGGCUGAGCACUACAGAGAAAGGUGGCCCUUAGGAACCCCUGCCUGGUAACUUCAGGAAGGGCUGGCAGGGCAGCAGACACCAGAUUACUGGAGGUUGAAAAGAUAUCAAGAGUGGACAGAAAGACUGGGAGAAAAUAAGAAAAUAGACAGUGAGUACAGACAAGCUGUGCAAGAAGCCUGGCUACCAAGGAAAGGAGAGAGCCUGACUUCCACAGACACCUGAAGUGUGGGGCCACACUGUCAAGUCGCCCCUUGUCACCAUGACUGGGAUGUAUAUCACAGAUCUGCUUCAUCGCAGCACAGUCUGGAAGGAAGCCUGGGAUUCCAGGGCUGGGAGAGACCUCGAGAGACAGUCAAGCUCAUCACUUCAACUGCAGGCAGAGAAAUGCAAAUAUAAGAGCUGAUUCCUAAG
rnacentral:lncRNA from 1 species